GGGCGAGUGGCGGAAUUGGCAGACGCGCUAGGUUCAGGGUCUAGUGAGCUACGCUCAUGGGGGUUCAAGUCCCCCCUCGCCCACCA
rnacentral:tRNA from 2 species